ensembl:lncRNA
UUCUCAUAUAUCAGCUGAAUUCUUUCUUUAGCUCAGUGUGUCUGUACCUGCAGAAUGGAAAGGUUUUAUGGGGUUACUAGAGGGUGAAAUCUGCACAUAGUCUUGAUAUGACAUGAUGAAAUCAACUUGAUGCUGAAAAAGGAUGAGUUCGAAGACCCAAACCCCCUUUAGGAACUACAACUGCAAACUGACAAUAACAGUCCAGCAUCAACAUAUCCAACAGCAACCCAGAACAUUUCAUGAAGUACUGAGUAAUAUACAACAUCCAGCUUGAAGCAUUGUUUUCUGUGUCUAUUCAGUGCAGAAAUCCAUCACUGAAGUGGAAAUGCAGGCUGGUGACAAAGCUAACAUCAAAUGGCUUCAAUCGAAGAUGUUCAGCAUCAAGACAAGAUUGAGUGGCACAGUCUAAGAGACAGACAGACAGCGGUGACAGGUGCUCUGAUAGAGAGAAAUGCAUGGAGUUUGUUUGCGGGCAGAGGAAAGGAGAGAGAAAGGCUGGCGUGACAAUAGGACUGACGUGAAGAUGAAGUGUCUGCCGUUGACACAGAUAUAGACUGACAGUUACAAAUACACAAAGACAGACAGAAACUAAGGGAGUAAACAAGGAGUAUGAUAACUAGAGUAUGACAGUAAGGUUAUUGCUUUGGGAAACCCAGCC